GUCUCUAAGCAAUGGAUGUCUUGGCUCCUCACACGAUGAAGAACGUGGCAUAAUGUGUUAAGUAACCGGAGUUGCAAACAUCAUGACAGGUUAAUCUUUGAAUGCAAAUUGCGCUAAACUCGAUCUCGGUCGAGAAGCAUGGGUGUGACAGUACUA
rfam:Trichomonas vaginalis G3, whole genome shotgun sequence.